UCUAUCUACUUCCAGAUCGUGAACUGAGCCAGCAAGAUCAACAGCGGAAAAAGCUUGGUAGGGUAUUUGAGAACGGGGGAAGUAGAAAAAGAAGGAGAAGAGAAAAUAAACCGAGUGGAAGGUAUUUGUCGGAAUACAAUUUGUCGUCUUCUUCUUCUUCUUCGCCUACUGUUAUUACUGUCUCUCUUUGAAGUGAUCUAACUCUCAGAAUAUCUGUGUUUGAGGUAUGAGUUUCUUCUUUUGCUUGAUGUUAUUGAUGACGAUAGUUUAUAUACGGAUGAGGAGGAAUUAGUCUGAGUUUACCCAAUUCGUCUUUUUUGUGGGUUUGGAAAGGGAGGAAUGAGCCAUGGCCACGGGUUGGAAGCCAUUGACGUCUCCAUCUUCUUUCCGUUACCAAAUCUAGAAACUUGGGCUUUGGAAUUUAGAUUGAAAUCAAUUCAGUCUAAGGCUCUAAGGUAAGCUCAAACCCAUCCAUGGUGGUAAUUUCGAGGAUUGCCUAAUUAAGGUCUGAAAUUGGGGAAGACGAGAAGAAUGGAGCUGGAGUUUGGCUGCAGAUCCUUUAGGUGGGUAUUGAUCAAGGUCAUAGGCACGUUGGAGUGGGUACAGAGAACUAGCUUCUCAAAGGUUUAUUUGGAUAAUCAGCUCAAUUCAAGUUUCUGUGACAGUCUAAAGAGAAUCAAAGAGGGUCUACAUUGGAGGUUUUUAAAAAAUUGGUUGCAGGUACAACUCUCCUUUAAUGCUCUUAGAUAUUCAAUUUAUAUGUUGUUGGCUUCUCCAGUUCCGAAAUCUGUUAUUGGAUAUUCAUGUAUAAUUCUAUUUUAAUCCUCAAUGAAAAUUUGAAGGCUCUUCAUUGAUUUUUUUAGUCUAUGCAUUUUUCUUAUUUCUUUGCAGCUCUUACACUUUUUUUUUUUUUUUUGGCAAACUACAGCUCCUACAUUUUGAUUGUUAGUUCCCCAACAAUCUGUCCAAGUUGGAUUUGUUGCCAUGUUCAAGGGUUGCAGUUGGUGAUGGCUCUUAUUGGUGUGAGUCGGCUAAUUUUCAGAUACAUAUCUUUCUUCCUUCUCAUUUUGCACGAGGCUGCAAUAGUCGCAAGUUCAGAUGAGUUAGUGAAGGAAUUUUUGAAAGUUGCUCAAUUGCGUUGACAACAACGACACCCACCCUCACAGGUAUUAACAAAUCUAUUCACACAUUUAGAGCGCAUUCACCAUAGUUUGAAAACGCAUUAUCUAGAUUGAUUUGGCUUAUCUUUCAAUAUGGUUAAUCAGUAAAUGAAGCUACUUCUUCAUUUAGUAAUUUGGUGUCCAUAUACAUACGUAACUGUUAAUGAAUAUUUGAUAAAGCUCCUUUCAGUUGUUUAAUGCUUAUAUAUGGAUGACCUUUAAAAUGGUUAGUUCAUUAUUUGAUUAAUUAUUUGUUAGGUCUGCUUUGUUGUUUCGGUUUCAGCUGAUGGAUUUGGUCCCUUACUUGAUUUUUCGUUGCAAGAUGGAAUAUGAAAUGCUAAUAUUACAUACAGAAUGACCUAACUGUUUCUCUUUCACCUUAUUUUUAUUGGAUUGCAGCACUGGUUUUUCUCAUAAAUGCUUACUACUGUAAGCUUUUAUUGAAUUUCCUUGUAGAUCUGACAUUUGUGAUGGUCUUCAAUGUGACUGUGUUCAUAAUACCACCAUUCAUAUAUAUUGUUGUAUAAUUGCAAGUGCUUAAAAACAUGAAUAGAACACUAUUGUUCAAUAUAACCUAGUUUUUAGCUUCAGAUUUUACCCUCUAUGUGUCAACCAUGCAGAUAGAUGUUCAAUUUAUGAGCUCGAACCAGCUUUUACUACAGAAAUACAUAAUCAAUGUGAAUGAUAAUUGUUUGUUUUAAGUUUCUUCCCCGAGAGAAAUGUCAUUGCAAGUGGGUACUUUCUGGCUAACUUG